AAAGUAUGAUACCACAAUUGUCCAAUUUUUUUUAGGAAAUCUAACUAAAUAUUGUACUUCCAUUCUUAUAGCAACACAAGAUUCCCUCGUUUGAUGGAAAUAUGAGGAGGCAAGACUUGUGAUACUCAAUCCUCAUGGAUUUGCUCUUUAAAGCUCUAACUUAGGGGCAUUCGGACUGAAGUGACUGUAAGACCAAAGACACAAAUAUAGGAAUGCAAUCAGUGGAUGUGAAGGCCCAUGGGUUGGCAGGCUUUGUUGAAAGAGAAGGUUGACACAGAAGUCAUGUGGCUCUGUACUUAAUAAAUCAAUGGACUUCAUCACGUCAUGGGAGUUUGGAACAGAGAAGUCAUUUCUUGAUGCUUUGGCCUAUCAGAGCCCAACGUGAGAAGGUGAAGAGGAUGUGACUGGCUUCAUUGUUCUGCCAGCUCUUCUCUGCCUUACUCUCCAACUCCUUAACAAGG